rnacentral:rRNA from 1 species
UUGGAGGGCAAGUCUGGUGCCAGCAGCCGCGGUAAUUCCAGCUCCAAUAGCGUAUAUUAAAGUUGUUGCAGUUAAAAAGCUCGUAGUUGAAUUUCGGGGUCAGCAGGUUGGUCGUGCCACCGGUAUGCACUGGCCUCGCUGAUUCCUCCCUCUUGUAGAACCGUAAUGCCAUUAAGUUGGUGUUGCGGGGAAACAGGACUGUUACUUUGAAAAAAUUAGAGUGUUUAAAGCAGGC